CAGCAGCCGCCGCGGUAAUACGUAGGUGGCAAGCGUUGUCCGGAAUUAUUAGGCGUAAAGGGUGCGUAGGCGGUUUGACAAGUCUUAUGUGAAAUCUUCGGGCUCAACCCGAAGUCUGCAUAGGAAACUGUCGGGCUUGAGUAUGGGAGAGGUGAGUGGAAUUUCCGGUGUAGCGGUGAAAUGCGUAGAUAUCGGAAGGAACACCUGUGGCGAAAGCGGCUCACUGGACCAUAACUGACGCUGAUGCACGAAAGCUAGGGGAGCAAACAGGAUUAGAUACCCCCGUAGUCCCUGUCUCUUAUAC
rnacentral:rRNA from 1 species